AGGGCACCACCAGGAGUGGAGCCUGCGGCUUAAUUUGACUCAACACGGGAAAACUCACCCGGCCCGGACACUGGAAGGAUUGACAGAUUGAGAGCUCUUUCUUGAUUCAGUGGGUGGUGGUGCAUGGCCGUUCUUAGUUGGUGGAGUGAUUUGUCUGGCUAAUUCCGAUAACGAACGAGACUCUAGCCUACUAAAUAGAUCGUCGGCUUACAAACGCCGACGAGACUUCUUAGAGGGGCAGGCGGUGAUUCAACCGCACGAAACAGAGCAAUAACAGGUCUGUGAUGCCCUUAGAUGUCCGGGGCCGCACGCGCGCUACACUGAAGUGAUCAGCGUGCUUUUGUCAACCUACUCUGUCAAGAGUGGGGAACCCAAUGAACCUUCUUCGUGAUUGGGAUAGGGGAUUGUAAUUAUUCCCCUUGAACGAGGGAAUUCCCAGUAAGCGCGAGUCAUAAGCUCGCGUUGAUUACGUCCCUGCCCUUUGUACACACCGCCCGUCGCUACUACCGAUUGAAUGUU
rnacentral:rRNA from 1 species